GAUGAACGCUGGCGGCGUGCCUAAUACAUGCAAGUCGAGCGAACAGACGAGGAGCUUGCUCCUUUGACGUUAGCGGCGGACGGGUGAGUAACACGUGGGUAACCUACCUAUAAGACUGGGAUAACUUCGGGAAACCGGAGCUAAUACCGGAUAAUAUUUCGAACCGCAUGGUUCGAUAGUGAAAGAUGGCUUUGCUAUCACUUAUAGAUGGACCUGCGCCGUAUUAGCUAGUUGGUAAGGUAACGGCUUACCAAGGCAACGAUACGUAGCCGACCUGAGAGGGUGAUCGGCCACACUGGAACUGAGACACGGUCCAGACUCCUACGGGAGGCAGCAGUAGGGAAUCUUCCGCAAUGGGCGAAAGCCUGACGGAGCAACGCCGCGUGAGUGAUGAAGGUCUUCGGAUCGUAAAACUCUGUUAUUAGGGAAGAACAAACGUGUAAGUAACUGUGCACGUCUUGACGGUACCUAAUCAGAAAGCCACGGCUAACUACGUGCCAGCCGCCGCAGUAA
rnacentral:rRNA from 1 species